GGAAUUUGUAUAUAUAAACUGCCUAAGAGUUUCAACGCGGAUAAACAAAGGGACUUUCUAUGUUUAACAGACAAUGCGACCUUAUUUGUCGUUACGGACAACCGAUUUGCCAAACAAUCAUUUCACAGACGGGCAGUUUGAGAAGAAGAAGGAUUUCGAGCGUUAGAAAUAGACACGAUUAUAAGAACGUAUUAUUUAGAGCAUUGAAGAUUGACAGAGGAAAAGUGGUAGUUUAGGACGUGGAAAAUCGAUUCUCGAUUUUCAGACUUAAGAAUCGAUCCCUGAAUUAUCCAAGUAUUGAACAUUAUAUAUCGAUUUUCGCUACGCCAUGCCGCUGAAAGUUAACUUACGCAUCGUCAUGAACGAAAACGCGAAAGGGGAGAAGAUAGAGGGUAUAGAAUCUAUCAGAAGACCAGAAGACUAUAUUUUAGAAAUAUACUAUAUUUUCCCCCCGGAAUAUCAAGAAAAAAAUUACCACCAACAAUUAUUCAGUUUACCAACAGUGAAAAAGACCGCAAACAGUCUAACCAAGGUAGGCCAAUAUAGAAAUGUUAAACUCACAAUAGAUGUAGAGACAGCAGAAUUAUAUAUCGAUACGGACUCAAAGUUCGUAUUCCGAGACAUUUUCUUAGAGGAAGCAGAAAUUACACCCACAAGAAAAAUAAGAACGGAAAUCGAGAAAC